rnacentral:rRNA from 1 species
CUGGACCGACCCUUCGGGGAGCUUGUACAGGUGCUGCAUGGCUGUCGUCAGCUCGUGUCGUGAGAUGUUCGGUUAAGUCCGCUAACGAGCGCAACCCUUCGCUGUGUGUUACAAGUGUCACACGGAACUGCCGGUCAUAAACCGGAGGAAGGUGGGAUGACGUCAAGUCAGCAUGGCCUUUAUAUCCUGGGCUACACACACGCUACAAUGGGAAGGGACAAUAGGUUGCCAAGCCGCGAGGCGGAGCCAAUCCAAAAAAGCAGGCCUCAGUUCAGAUUGUAGUCUGCAACCCGACUGCAUGAAGAUGGAGUUGCUAGUAACCGCAGGUCAGCUAUACUGCGGUGAAUACGUUCCCGGGUCUU